GACGAACGCUGGCGGCGUGCUUAACACAUGCAAGUCGAACGGAAAGGCCCUGCUUUUGUGGGGUGCUCGAGUGGCGAACGGGUGAGUAACACGUGAGUAACCUGCCCUUGACUUUGGGAUAACUUCAGGAAACUGGGGCUAAUACCGGAUAGGAGCUCCUGCUGCAUGGUGGGGGUUGGAAAGUUUCGGCGGUGGGGGAUGGACUCGCGGCUUAUCAGCUUGUUGGUGGGGUAGUGGCUUACCAAGGCUUUGACGGGUAGCCGGCCUGAGAGGGUGACCGGCCACAUUGGGACUGAGAUACGGCCCAGACUCCUACGGGAGGCAGCAGUGGGGAAUAUUGCACAAUGGGCGGAAGCCUGAUGCAGCAACGCCGCGUGCGGGGUGACGGCCUUCGGGUUGUAAACCGCUUUCGCCUGUGACGAAGCGUGAGUGACGGUAAUGGGUAAAGAAGCACCGGCUAACUACGUG
rnacentral:rRNA from 1 species